rnacentral:lncRNA from 1 species
CGGCGCGUAUUCCUUCCUGAUGUGGUUAUUGAUGGUGUGUUUGGUUCGAAGUUGGAAUUGAUAUUAGAGUCGGAAUGAGAAUAAGUUAGAAACAGAAUCGAAAUAAUUUAUUACCUAUUCUGUUUGGCUUGCCAGCUGAAUCUGAAUCGAAUCGUUCCCAUUAUCAAUGUUUAGUUUAAAUAAACAUCAGAAACAUAAUCAAAUUAAUAUAUCAAUUUUAUCUUUAUAAUAUAUUAGUUUAAAUUCAAAUUAAAAAUUAAAUAUUAAAAAUUUACAUCAAAGUUUUAAAAUGAUGUCAAAAUUUUAAAUAUAUUUUUUUAAAAAAUUAAAAUUUGAAAUUUAAUGGAUAAUUCAAAAUAUAAAACUAAAAUUUGAUUUAUUCAAAUUUAAACUUAAAAUUAUAAUUUCAAUUUCAAUUUCAAUUUGAAUCCAUAAAUUUAAUUUAAAUUUUAAAUAAAAUUUGAAUACAACUUUAUAUUUUAAAUUAAAUUUAAAUUUAAAUUUAUAAAUUAGAUUCAAAAUGCUUGGUUGAAUUUUAAUUUUUAAUUUAAGUUCAAAUUAAAAUUAAAAUUUAUAAAUAUAAUUUUUGAACUUAAACUUAUAUUUUAAUUGAAAACAAGUUUAAAAAUUUAAAUUUAAUCUGAAUAAAUUUAUUCCGUCCGGAUUCAAUUUCCAAUUCGACCUAUUAAGCCGGAUUGGAAAAAAAGGUAAUUGGGGNGGGGGAUUCCCAUUCAUCCGGGAAUCGGAAUCGGAAUGAAAAUUUUGCAUACCAAAUACGGAUAAUCGAAUUUGUCCAUUUCGAUUCCAAUUCUAGGAUGAAAAAAGGACGAAUCAAACACGCCCGGAGAGUAAACUCACACUUUUGGUCCCCAAAUUAUGAGGAAUAUGAUAUUUUGGUCUUUAAAUUUUAAUUUAUUAUAAUUUUUGUUGAAACUUUUUGAAUUAUUACAAUCAAGUUACACCAUUUAAUUUAGUCAGCUAAAUAUUAACAAAAUUGUUGACAUAAAAAUAUAUAAUACAAUAUUCUUAUUAUUAUUGCAUGAUCAAUCACAACACUAGCUUUAACCCUUUUAUAUCAUUUCUAUAUCAACAGUUUAUCAAUAUUUAGCUAAUUAAAUUGAGAUAUAAAAUUUUAUUAUAAUAAUUUAGAAAAUUCAAAUAAAAGUUUAUAAUAAAUUAGAAAUUAAAGACCAAAAU